GAAAAAGAUGACAGAUCACUUAUUGCAGUGACGGACUGGACAGUCUGGCAUUUGGGCAGAUGCCAGAAGGGCCGCGGCCUCUCGUGGGCCGGCCAAUCACGGGGCGCCAUGCUUGUCGGGUUCGUGCAACCCCUUUAUCGCAAGGCCGGUUCCACUUUAUCUCUCGGCCCACUAUCAAGCAUCAAUGGUG